CCUACGGGAGGCAGCAGUGGGGAAUAUUGCACAGUGGGGGAAACCCUGAUGCAGCGACGCCGCGUGAGUGAAGAAGUAAUUCGUUACGUAAAGCUCUAUCAGCAGGGAAGAAAUACUGACCUUACGGUCAGCAGACGGUACCUGAGUAAGAAGCCCCGGCUAACUACGUGCCAGCAGCCGCGAUAAUACGUAGGAUGCGAGCGUUAUCCGGAUUUAUUGGGUUUAAAGGGUGCGCAGGCGGAAGAUCAAGUCAGCGGUAAAAUUGAGAGGCUCAACCUCUUCGAGCCGUUGAAACUGGUUUUCUUGAGUGAGUGAGAAGUAUGCGGAAUGCGUGGUGUAGCGGUGAAAUGCAUAGAUAUCACGCAGAACUCCGAUUGCGAAGGCAGCAUACCGGCGCUCAACUGACGCUCAUGCACGAAAGUGUGGGUAUCGAACAGGAUUAGAUACCCCUGUAGUC
rnacentral:rRNA from 1 species